CCUACGGGAGGCAGCAGUGGGGAAUAUUGGGCAAUGGGCGCAAGCCUGACCCAGCAACGCCGCGUGAAGGAAGAAGGCUUUCGGGUUGUAAACUUCUUUUCUUAGGGACGAAGAAAGUGACGGUACCUGAUGAAUAAGCCACGGCUAACUACGUGCCAGCAGCCGCGGUAAUACGUAGGUGGCAAGCGUUAUCCGGAUUUAUUGGGUGUAAAGGGCGUGUAGGCGGGAGCGCAAGUCAGAUGUGAAAACUCAGGGCUCAACCCUGAUCCUGCAUUUGAGACUGUGUUUCUUGAGUGCUGGAGAGGAAAUCGGAAUUACGGGUGUAGCGGUGAAAUGCGUAGAUAUAAGGAGGAACACCAGUGGCGAAGGCGGAUUGCUGGACAGUAACUGACGCUGAGGCGCGAAAGCGUGGGGAGCAAACAGGAUUAGAUACCCGUGUAGUC
rnacentral:rRNA from 1 species